rnacentral:rRNA from 1 species
UGGGGAAUCUUGGGCAAUGGGCGCAAGCCUGAUGCAGCCAUGCCGCGUGAGUGAUGAAGGCCUUAGGGUUGUAAAGCUCUUUCACCGGAGAAGAUAAUGACGAUAUCCGGAGAAGAAGCAACGGCUAACUUCGUGCCAGCAGCCGCGGUAAUACGAAGGGGGCUAGCGUUGUUCGGAAUUACUGGGCGUAAAGCGCACGUAGGCGGACUUUUAAGUCAGGGGUGAAAUCCCGGGGCUCAACCCCGGAACUGCCUUUGAUACUGGAAGUCUGGAGUAUGGAAGAGGUAAGUGGAAUUCCGAGUGUAGCGGUGAGAUGCGUAGAUAUUCGGAGGAACACCAGUGGCGAAGGCGGCUUACUGGUCUAUUACUGACGCUGAGUCACGAAAGCGUGGGGAGCGAACA